CGGCGAGUGAAGCGGCAACAGCUCAAAUUUGAAAUCUGGCUCUCGGGCCCGAGUUGUAAUUUGUAGAGGAUGAUUUUGGCGCGGUGCCUUCCGAGUUCCCUGGAACGGGACGCCUUAGAGGGUGAGAGCCCCGUACGGUUGGACGCUAAGCCUCUGUAAAUCUCCUUCGACGAGUCGAGUAGUUUGGGAAUGCUGCUCUAAAUGGGAGGUAAAUUUCUUCUAAAGCUAAAUACCGGCCAGAGACCGAUAGCGCACAAGUAGAGUGAUCGAAAGAUGAAAAGCACUUUGAAAAGAGGGUUAAAUAGCACGUGAAAUUGUUGAAAGGGAAGCAUUUAUUACCAGACCUUUUCCUGGCGGAUCAUGCGGUGUUCUCACCGCUGCACUUCGCCAGGUUUAGGCCAGCAUCGGUUUUUGUAAGGGGAUAAAAGCUUUGGGAACGUAGCUCCCUCGGGAGUGUUAUAGCCCUUUGCAUAAUACCUUUACGGGGACCGAGGACCGCGCUUCGGCAAGGAUGCUGGCAUAAUGGUAAUCAAUGACCCGUCUUGAAACACGGACCAAGGAGUCGAACAUUUGUGCGAGUGUUUGGGUGUUAAACCCUCACGCGUAAUGAAAGUGAACGUAGGUGAGAGCCCUUACGGGCGCAUCAUCGACCGAUCUUGAUGUCUUCGGAUGGAUUUGAGUAAGAGCAUAACUGUUCGGACCCGAAAGAUGGUGAACUAUGCGUGGAUAGGGUGAAGCCAGAGGAAACUCUGGUGGAGGCUCGCAGCGGUUCUGACGUGCAAAUCGAUCGUCAAAUCUGCGCAUGGGGGCGAAAG
rnacentral:rRNA from 1 species